AUCUUCCCCAAUGGGCGAAAGCCUGAGGGAGCGAUGCCGCUUGAGGGAUGAAGCCCUUCGGGGUGUAAACCUCUGAACGGGGGACGAUGAUGACGGUACCCCGGUAAUAGCACCGGCCAACUCCGUGCCAGCAGCCGCGGUAAUACGGAGGGUGCAAGCGUUACCCGGAUUCACUGGGCGUAAAGGGCGCGUAGGCGGCCUGCUCAGUCCGGCGCUAAAGCCCGGGGCUCAACCCCGGAAGCGCGCUGGAUACUGGUGGGCUCGACGGCUGGAGAGGGCAGUGGAAUUCCCGGAGUAGCGGUGAAAUGCGCAGAUACCGGGAGGAACGCCGAUGGCGAAGGCAGCUGCCUGGACAGCCCGUGACGCUGAGGCGCGAAAGCGUGGGGAGCAAACCGGAUUAGAUACCCGGGUAGUCCACGCCCUAAACGAUGAGUGCUGGGUGUCCGACGUUUGUUGGGUGCCGAAGCCAACGCGUUAAGCACUCCGCCUGGGAAGUACGGCCGCAAGGCUGAAACUCAAAGGAAUUGACGGGGGCCCGCACAAGCGGUGGAGCAUGCGGUUUAAUUCGAAGCAACGCGAAGAACCUUACCAGGCCUUGACAUGCUGGAUCACCGGUGAAAGCCGGCUGCCGCAAGGCGAACCAGCACAGGUGCUGCAUGGCUGUCGUCAGCUCGUGUCGUGAGAUGUUGGGUUAAGUCCCGCAACGAGCGCAACCCCUAUCCUCAGUUGCCAGCGGUUCGGCCGGGCACUCUGUGGAGACUGCCUGCGAAAGCAGGAGGAAGGUGGGGAUGACGUCUAGUCCGCAUGGCCCUUACGGCCUGGGCGACACGCGUGCUACAAUGGGCGGCACAACGCGCUGCUACCUGGUAACAGGACGCCAAUCGCUUAAAACCGCCCUCAGUUCGGAUUGGGGUCUGCAACUCGACCCCAUGAAGCCGGAAUCGCUAGUAAUCGCGGAUCAGCCAUGCCGCGGUGAAUACGUUCUCGGGCCUU
rnacentral:rRNA from 1 species